UUCUGAUUUGAAGAAAUUUUAAACCCAGAAAGCUUGGGUUUCCUGAGAUCUCUGCCAUCACUGUUCCACCAAACUCGCCAAUAGCGUCCGCUCUUUCGAACCAGGGAAAAUCUAUUUGAUGAUGGGAAUCAUCUGAAUCAGUUCUUGGAUGAUGAUCCAACAAUAUCUCAUUCAUGGUUUGGAUAGUUAUUAAGAAUAUGAUGGGAUAAUCGAGUUGAGUUCAUGAAUUAAACUAGUCCCGGCAAAAGAACUUGCAGACUUACAGCA